GAGGAGCGGGUGCCGUACAAAUGCCUUUAUAAUUCACAGCGUGUGCAACCACUUGUAUUCUGUGGGAUCAGAAUAUCCUGAGCUGGAACGGGAACGGACCCUCAGGGAUCACCCAGUGCGACCCCGUUGCUGCGACAGAUCUGAUGGAGCGUUUUAAGGGAUGGAUGCUGCUCUUUGCAGAGUUCCUCAUGAGACCGUGGCAAACCUCCCUGCAAUCAUCUCUCCAAUUUGUGGCUGUUCCCGUGAGUUUCUGCUCCAUUUUCUCACUCCCGGAGGCUCUACAGGGACAUCAGGGCUCAGCAGGGGCUCCUCUUCCCUUACCCUGUGAUAAAACUUCUCCAGGAGUGCUCUGUCAACCUGUCUGUCUCCUGGUUAUAUUUCAGUUGACUAAAAUAAGCAAAUGCAAUGUAUACUGGGGAACGCUGGAGAAAAGGACUCAGCAAAAGAAAAGAUAAUGAUAGUGCUGAGUUUCCUGGAAUCCCACUGAGAGGCUGAUUUAAGCAAGAAAAACAAACCCCUUUUGCUGUUUCCUUUCCCUGGAUUUGUUGAUGAGCAAUCUUUAGUUCACCCCAGGUCCAGCUUUGCUUCCACUCCCCAGCUCUCCUCUGUUAAUACCUCACAUAUGGCACGGCUCAGGUGUGAAAGGACAAUGCUGGCUCACAUCCAUGGAAAGGAUCGGACUUUAUUCCCUGUCUGGGUGAGGCUUACUUACCUCAGCCACUGAAACCAGGCAGGGAACAGCAUCCUUCCCAUCUUCACCAAGCCUGUACUUCUGUAAGCAGGUGGCACAAAAAAAAAAUAAAUGAAAGGGAAAGAAACAAAAACUAUCCCUCAGGAGCUGCUGCUCCUUUCAUGGGAGGAGAAAGAGUGUGGAGCAACAGGAGAGGGUUUCCUGCUCUUGACAGGGGUUGUGCCCUGUGUGAGCUCACAGAGAGCAGCCCCAUCCCUCCCUUCCUCCCUCCCUUUUUUUCUUUAACAUAUGUGCUUUCUAUGGGCACUUUAAUCAAACUCCAGAUGGGUUGUUUCAGUCAGGGGAUUUGUGCUGCUCUGGAGAUAAGAGUCCUUUGUGCUGGCCUAGGUAGCAAGAGUGUUUGUGAUAACUGGAGCUGAUACCAGGAGAUGUCCAGGUGGUCUUAUUUAACAGGGAGCAUUAGUGAUACCACCAUUGUCCAGGAAAUCAGAUAAAACUGGGUCCAGGUGUUACCCAACACCGUGUUUGUGUAAGGACAGUACCAACUGCUGCCUGCACUGAGCCCCAGAGCAGCACUGCAGAGGGGGGGGUUCUUGUACAGGAUCCCCAUCACCCCCAAACUUCUCGGGGUGCACCAUUGAAAGGGAAAAAUUUAACCAGGAGUUGGACUUGGAUGAUCCUUGUGGGUCCCUUCCAACUCAGGAUAUUCCAUGAUCCUAAGCUGAAUAUCAAGUGAGCUUCACACUGAAUAUAAGAUCACUCUUGGAUGUCCUAAACUGAAGAAUUUCACUUAAACCAUCACACAUUUUCCUCUCUGCCCUCCCACAGAGAGGUCUCUAACGAAAACAUUUGGGGAGUGAGAUGAUUUAGAAAUAAAAAUUCAGGACAAUUCACUCUUCUGCCCAGGCUAAUUAGAAGAGAGGAGGAAUUGUACAGAUGGAUGAACUGGAGAGAGGAGACAGUUUGGGAAGUGCUAACCUGGACUGUAAUUUCAGGUGACAAGGACACUUUUCAGUCCUCGUUCUGGAGUGACACUGCACAGUGACACACCAGCUGCAGGAAGGGAUUUACCACAAAUCAUUGCUAGAAAAUCACAUAAAAAUCAAGACAAAAGAAGUAUGAGCGAGACCUGAACUCUUCUUGUGGUUUUACACUCAGCCAUUCCCUUUUAAGAGCAGGGUAUUUAGUAGGAAGCAUAAAUUCCAGGCUCAGAGUCGUGCAAUGUCUAGACUCCAGCUCGUGGGAUCUGUCUCCGUGGGGCCAUAUUUCUCACCGUGAUAUUUUUCAGGACACCUCUGCUUUGUCCCAGAGAUUUCAGGGAUGUGGAAGCUCCCGGCUCCUCGUACCAGUGGCAGCUGGGAGGCUGCUGGAGUUCCUUGGUAAUUGUUUGUAUGGAUGGGAGCUCAACUUAGCUGCAGAGCACGGGGGGAAAAGCCUGGUUGGAAGGAGCGGGGACUUUUGGCCCCCAGCUGUGCCAGAACAGGCUCAUCACCGAGAGAUCCCCAGCUGCACUUCCAGGCUGUAAAUUAAACAAACAGUGUUUCCUCUAGACCAGACCACAGGGAUGGCAGAGAGAACAAUGUGGCCUUAUUGCUGUUAUUUCCUUUGGUUUCAAUCUCUGUCCUCUGCCCCCACCUCCUCCCCAGACCCGUGGUGCCCACUUUACCCGAUUUGCCAUUUAUUACACUGCUUUAAAGAGAGGCAGGGGGAAAAAGGCUCAGUGCAAAUUAUAUUUUGAGCUGUUGUGCUUUGCCUCUUUGGUGGAUAAUAAAUCUCUCUGGCAAUGCU